UUACCAUCCCUAGUCCAACGAAGUAUUGGGGUGUUUGGAAAUGUUCGAUAUUUGCGUAGAAAUUUUCAAAGUAAAACGAAAAACAAUGUAUUAAAGUUGCAAUUAAUUACUGCUAAAGGAGUGGUCAACAUACAUUGCAAUCGUGUAUCCAAAACGCAAGAAACGCAUUCGCAUUAGGAGGCGCCAGUGUUAAACUGUGUGUGUGCGAGUAUAUCCAAACCAAAGAAAAACGAAAGAAAAAGCAAGACCCAGCGCAGAAGAUGUGUCUAUACUACGGCCUAAAUGAAUGAAAUGUGAAGUGUGUGUGUAUAUGUAGGCGAAGGCGAUACCAGCUAACUGUGCAUGUGUGCAUGCGUGCGUGUGUAUGUGUGUGCGAUAGUAUGUGUAUGCGUAUUCGCCUAACGCUCACAUCUGUGUGCGUGUGCUUGUGUGCUGCACACUGAAAGAAUCAAUAAAGGAUGUGCUGUGGAUUUUUGCAGCAGCAGAACCAGAAGCAGGAGCAGGACCAACGAAAACCAACAAAAACCAAAUAAAAAAGCCAACGACAACAAAAACAAAGCACCGCAGCAAAGAACAAAUUAUAACAUUUACUUUUUCGCGAUAGUUUUGAGCACAGUAAAGCUUGUAACGGUAAAUGUUGCAAAAAGAAAAAUUGAUAACUGUAAUAUGUGUGGCUAUUGUGAACAGUGAAUUGUAAAGCGAAAAAAGAAGUGCGCAAGAGUGCGUGUGCGAAAAGGAAAUUAAGAAAACUAACAAAAUUAAAGAAAAUCGAAAUUAAACUUCAGUCAGUCAAUCAAUCAAUCAGCGCAACAUGAAGUGCUGCGUAAUAAUUACAACGCUAAUGCUGCUGUCCAUUGCACGGCACAUUGGCACUGUUGAGGUGCAUUUCGAAGCACCUGACAGCGGCUUCUUCCUGAAGCACGCUCGCCAACCACCUGUGACGCCGGAGAUUGCCAACAUCCAGACCUCCUCCUCGGUGCCGCCCCUGAAGUCACGCCCCUCCUAUGAUUCCGUCUUAUCCCUAGAUCGCUUUACCGUCGUGGAGACCACACAACCCGUAUCUAUACGCGCCAGCUACGGCCCGUUCUCGACCAAGCAAACGGUGCCCGCUCGCUACAUUGUGCCGGACACCAUGGAAACCAAUCAAGCGGGCGACUAUGUGAACAACUCGACGGCCACACUGCUGGAGUUACAGCAGCCGAACAUGCACCUGGACAUCUCGGCGCACUUGGUGCGCGCUAGUGUCUCGCAGGACUCGCCAGUGCUGCGCGUCCUCUUCCAUGCUGGCGCCGAUCCGGGCGGUCAUUUGCAGCGACAGAAGGUCUGCGUGCUGCUCCACGUAGCCAUGCCCAAUGAGCAACCGUUGAAGGGACGUUGCAUGCCCGAGGGAGAGGACGGCGUUUGUGUGGCUGAGGUAGUCAUUCCACUGAACUGGUGGCCAGCUCUGCCAGCGCCUAGGCACAGUCGCGAGGGCAGCGGCAACAGCGGCACGGACGGACAGCCACAGCUGCCGCCUAAGGUGCCGCAGCGUUACGCCCAGGUCUCCUACAGCGUCUUCGAACCACCAGUGCGCAAUCCGGAGCAAUGUGAGCCGAAGGUCCAGAUACAGCCGCUGACAACGUUUGCCCAGGUGCCGCUGCUGGCAGCGAAGACAUCGUUCAAAGAGCUACGAGCGGAUGAUUCGGUUACGUUCCUGUUGCCCCAGCAUCCCCUGUAUCCCAUGUCCAAGUUGCACGUGCCCGUCUUUUUGCAUCAGUAUGCGGAUCAGGAGCAGCGUGUCGCUGCGUUUACAGUGCGCGCCCGGGUCAAGGCCGGGCUACGCAUCUUGGGCGCCAGCGCCUCCAGCGACCAGUGGAGCAUUAGCAUUGAGAAGGAGAAUCCCAAGCAUACGACGGCGCGUGUCACAGCCUUCCGCAAGGAGGUCGACUCGUCCGCCUCAUCCUCGGCCACAUCCAGCAUGGAGAACAGAGGCAACUACAACAGCAGCGGCAGCAGCAACAGCAAUGAGGUCUACGAGGUCUUCUCCUGGCUGCUCGAGGUCGCCGAUGACUCCAACGACAUUGUCGAUGGCGGAAAGAUCGUGUGGUCGGUCACCCAUGUCUAUGACACACCCAAGGACAAGGACUCCGCCGAGCUGAUUGCCACAGAUGACACAAAGAAGCGCUUGAUUGCCAAGCUGGAGAUCAACAAGGAUGACAUUCAAGCAGUAUUGCCCAUGGCCAAGAUCUGGGAGGUGAUGAACACAGCAGUGCUCACUGGCCGCCAGGUGGCGCAGGCCAUGAAGGUCUUCAUUGUCUCGCAGGCGGGCAAAGUGGCUGAUGUUACCCUGCAGAGCUCCUGUCAUGCCGAGGACGAGAGCGUCAUCAAGGUCUCCUCGUCGUGCAGCUCCGUUUAUGUUGAUGGCUCCGAGCAGCGCGGCUCGUCCAAUGCGUCGGUCAUUGUUAAGUAUGGUACCUAUGUGGGCGUGGCCAAGUUCAUUGUCUGGAUGCCCGAAUUUCCGCUUGAGGUUUACAUAGCCGACUUUCGUCUAUCCCAAAUCAAGGGCUGGAAAGUAGCCGAUGACAGUCAUUACCUACACAACAAGCAGUCGAGACGUCGCAAGAAGCGCUCGUAUAUGUGGAACCAGCACGGCACCAGCUACUACAACAAUGUGGGCGCCGACAAGAGCAUCUGCCGCGCACGCUACCAGCAGAGCCCUGUGGAGGUCUACGCCAAGUUUCUGGCCAUCGAUCAGAACUCUGGGCGCACCAGCUACUUCAUUUCACGUCGAACUGGACUGCGUGUGACGGAUCUGGUGCAGCCGCUGCUGCGUGUGGCGGAUCCAAAGAUCGCCUCGCUGAAGGGCCGCAUACUGCAGGGCAAGUCGAUGGGUCGCACCGAUGUCCAGGUGCUGUCGCCUAUUACGGGCCGUGUCAUUGGCACCAAGGAGAUACGCGUUGGCAGCGACAAGGUGAAUCUCUCCCGUCUCAUUGUGCGCGUCAUCUCCGGACUACAGCUGACCAUUACGCCGGAGAACGCCAUCGAGAACGGUUAUCUGGCAGAGACGUCCGUCACACACAAGCUGACGGCACAGUAUCAGGAGGGAUUGCUGGACAUCGAUCUGGAGUUCAACGAUGGCUCGAAGACGCCUUUGCGCGACAUUGCUGUGGAGGAUUACUUCCUGCUGGUGGAGAGUCUCGAUACGGAAGUGGUGGCCUUUGCCCCCAUGCUCGCCUCACAUCAUCCGCGUGUCAUUGCCGUGGGCGAGGGCAAUGGCAAUCUGCUGCGCGUUACGCUUCUGCUCUCCGAGGAAUGUCGCAUGCGACGCGGCCCUGGCGGCUCCUCAUCGAGCAGCUCCAAGCCGAACAAACCGAAUGCGGCCCCAUUAGCCAGCGCCCUGGCCUCCAUCGAGGUGGACUUCAACAAUGUGGACAUUGUCAGCAAACAGGAAUCGAUACAGAACGACGGCACAGUGGGACGCGAACGCAAGAACUACCGCAACACGGGAGACCUGGCUGACAUUAUAGUUGGCAUACCGCUGCGCGACUCCAGCCAACAGUACGAGCCGACGGUGCAGGCGCGUCAGCACCGGGCGAGCAUCCAGGCAGUGCACAAGUCGCACUACGGCAAUCGGGGCGGCUUGGGCAGUGGCAACAUGUCCUCCAUGGAGCUGGGCAUGUAUGUGCUCCUCACAGCCUUCUGCUUUGCCAUUAUUGUGUUUGUCAUCUCGUGCGUGGUUUAUGCAUCGAAAUUCCGGCCAGCCAUGAUUGAGUCGGGUCUCGAUCCGCUCAGCUCCGGCAAUGGCAAUGGCAACGGCAACGCUGGCGGCUUCCGUGACGUACGCCUCAAGGAGUCCACCACCAAUGCCCACGACUGGGUCUGGCUGGGACGCUCCACCAUCGAUAGGCAUUCGGUGGCAAUGAACGACACCAGCACUCCGCAACCUCAGCCGCAGCAGCAACAUGUGAAUGCACGCGACUCUCGCAUGCGCAUCACCAGCAAUCCGAUCAUCAACUACGACAAUGGCCGGCGCGUCAGCUCCUUUGACCAGCCGCAGCCCAAGCUGCAAACGCACAUCGUGCCCGCCUCCAAUCUAAACAAGAUUCAUGCCGAACACUAUCUCUCCAAUGACCGGAAGGACGCUGCCCUGGACUACAAGCCUCCAGUGCCGCCGCACCGCAAUGUGGGCACACGCGCCAUGUUGCCGCCACAGGCUGCACCCGUUAAGGACAAGGAGUUGAUCAACAAACGGCACAGUCAGCUCUACAAACGCGAGCAUUUGCAAAACAACGAGAACAACAAUGCGACGCAGCAACAGCCGCAUUUGUCGCUGCAACAGCAACAGCAGCAGCAUCAGGCGCCGCAGCAACAGCCGGAACGUCAGCCAAUGCAUCAGCAUCACCCGGAGCGUCAGCAUCAGCGCAGCCACAGUCAUAGCCACAAUUUUAUCCAAGAGCCAGCGCUCAGAGCCGCACACUUGAAACUCAAACAGCAUCAGCAAAUGCAACAGCAGCAGCAACAGCAACAGCAGCAGCAGCAGCAACAACAACACGAGGAGUUGCACAAUGCUGAGAAGCUAGUGGAGUACACAAAUCCGCAUCAGAAGAAUGCAUUUCAAUUCGAUUCGCUAACACCAAAGAGAGUAACCAAAGCAGCAAAUGCUGCUGCACCAGCUUCAGCAGCAGCAGCAACAGCAGCAGCAGCAACAUCAGCAUCAGCCGCCGUACCAACAGCACCAGCAGUUGCAGGCAACAAAAUAUUGCCAGCUGUAAUACAAAUCAAGGAGAAUCACAACCACAGCAUUUUGAGCACUGUUGCGGAUGCGGCCAAUUCGAAUGCCACUGAUGAGAUUGUCCGGCUGCCGACACCGUCCGGUCACACGGUCGCGGCCGUGAGCAGUGAGCCAACAACAAAAUCGUCGCGAGUCAAACGGGCCACAGUUGUUGGCAAUCCGAUGUUCUCGUCCGCCGUAGAUGAUACGCUGGCACCGGGCGAACGUUUGGGUCUCGAUGAUCUCGACAUGGACUACGAACAGAUCAUGCACUAUUUCGACAACCUAAAGGAGUCAAAUGCCUGAGUACAGGAGAUCAUUGCUAAAAUUCGCGAGAUAUUGUCAACAUUUCAACAACGAUAUCAGAAUGUCGUUACUCCCCUACCAACGCCCACGCGAAAGCAGAUCCAAAUGCUCGACGAGCUCGUCGCCGUUGGAGUCGAUGUUGGAAUUGGAGUUGAAAAGAAAGCAGCAGGAGUAGCAGGAGAAGCAGCAGCAGCAACGGGUUUGCCGCCAGAGCCAUGUCUGCACAAUUUUCAAAUUCCAAGCAAAUGCAACUAAAGGCAAUCCAAAACUAAAAGAAUACUCACAGCAUAAAAAUGAAAUCCAGAGUUAAAUGCGACGCUGAAAA